CGCAACAUUGGACUGUAGAUGCAAUAGAUUCACAAGGAGCUAGCAAGAUACUUAAAGUGAAGAAAAGGAACGUGUUAAAUUUAUCUAAUGGAGAACAUAUUGUGGUUGAUUUUGACGACAUGGAUUCUCCCAUUGGUGAAGGACAAGGCGUUUUUGCAGGCUUUUGUGGAAUUUUAGCAACUGACUGCUCCAUUUUUCCAAUUCACUUUGAGAAAUGACCGGAUUUACCUGUGACAAUCUUCAACCGUUGUUAUGAUCGAUUUAUAAAGCCACGAUUUUGUUUUCGGACAACUGAGUCAAAUGCAAGACGAUAUGUUUAUAAUUUUAUGUGUAAGAAGUGGGGCGCAAAAAGGCUAAAGUUGUUUGAUAAGGUCUAUGAUCCACUUAAGAGCAGAGCUGAGAUAAUGGAUAGCGUUCCACUGGGAAUUCCACCAGAUCAAUGGAUUUCUUAU